rnacentral:lncRNA from 1 species
CAGAUGAAUUUUUUACGUUUUUUUUUUACAAUUACUUUUUUUCUAAAGACAUAAAUAAAAUAAAUGAAAAAAAUAUACAACAGUUUAUGAUAAAAUAUAAUUAUACAUUAAACGAUGUUUUAAAUGGUUUAAAUGAUAUUUUUUUUCAAUAUUUGUAUAAACAAAUAUAUAUAAGUGAAGGACCAAUAGAUGAAAAAGAUUUUUUUUAUCAUAUAAAUUCUUUUUUAUUAUUAUAUAAAAAAUUAUUUACAAAUAAUAUAGAAAAUAUAAAAAUAAUUAUUAGUCUUAUUUUAUAUAAAUAUAAUACAUAUUGUGUAAAUCAUGAAGAUAAAUAUGAGGAAAUUAUGUCAAAAAUUGUGUAUUUAUUUUAUAUACUUAAUCUUACAUAUAAGUAUAAUAUACAGUCUAUUGAUGCAUUAAAUAUAGUAAAACAUAAUCAUUAUGGCAUACCUCAUUUUUUCAAAAAUGAUAAGUUAGAUAGUUACUAUUUUUUAAACUACAUUGUGGAUAACUUUGGUGUAAGUUUAUCGUCAUCAUAUGUCUUUAUAUAUGUCCUUACAUAUGUCCUUACAUAUGUCUUUAUAUAUGUCCUUAUAUAUGUCUUUAUAUAUGUCCUUAUAUAUGUCCUUACAUAUGUCCUUAUAUAUGUCCUUANNNNNNNNNNAUGUCCUUAUAUAUGUCCUUAUAUAUGUCUUUAUAUAUGUCCUUAUACAUAUAUCUACAUUUAUGUUUAUUUUAUUUUAUUUUAUUUUUUUUUUUUUUACAGGUAAAAAAGAAUCUAAUUGUAGAUAGCAUCUUUAACAGAAUGAAAAAAAAUUAUGAAGAGUACAUAUUUUUUUUAUUAAAAAAUGAAAAUAAAAAUCUUUCCAAUAAAUACUUAGAAGAUAUAAACGGUAUGAAUGUCAUGACAUUAAGUUCAAGUGAUAUAGAAGAAGUAAAUAUUUUAAUUUUUAAUAAAUUAGCUAAAAAUAUAAUGAAUACACCAAAUUAUCAAUCUGUUUAUUUUGUACAUGGUAAAAAGAGGUAUAAGAGUGAUCAGGUUGGUUUAAUAUCCCGAAAAGAGAAAAAUAAAGUAGUGCCAGUAGUGGCAGUAGAACCAGUAGUGUCAGAAGUGGCAGUAGAACCAGUAGAACCAGUAGUGGCAGUAGAACCAGUAGUGUCAGAAGUGGCAGUAGAACCAACCGAAUCACUAGAACCAGUAGAAUCACCAGAACCAGUAGAAUCACUAGAACCAGUAGUAGAUGAAUAUGUAACUGAUUAUGAUGAAUUGAAAGCUGACGAUAAUGUUAUUGAUGAGGAUGGUGAUGACACAACACUUGAUGAUACAGAUGAAGAUCUUUCUUUUUUUUUCGAAGAUAAUAUUGACUAUACAAUACAAGAUAAUAGUAGUAAUAAAAAAAAUGUUAUCAACAUUUUAGAAAGAAAUAAGGUAGAAGAAUCAGAAAAAGUAAUAUUAUUACAGAAAAUAAAUGAUAUUUAUUUUUUAAAAAAUUAUUUAAACAUUAAUAAAGAACUUGUUUAUAGAUAUAUAGAAAAACCUUUAUUUCCAUAUAUAUAUAAAGAAUAUAAAACAUUAUUAAAUAACUUAUUAUUAAAAAAAUUAAAAAAUAAAAAUGAGAAUUUAUUUUUUUUAAAAAAUAAAAUUUCUUUAUCUAGUAAUUUGAUUGAACAAAUUAUUAAGGAUAUUAUUUUAAAUUUUGUUAUAAAAAUUAAAGAUAAUAUUAGUAUAUGUAUGAAACUAAAUAAUAUGAAUAAAUGUAUAAAAUUGCUUAUUCAUUUGAUGAAUGUAUAUAAAAAAAUAAAAAAAAAUAAAAAAAUAUUACAAAUAAAUAAUUUAACAUUUAAUUUGGAUGAUUUAUUUGGGUAUAAUUAUUAUAAAGAGAAAGAAAAUAUGGUUGAAAAUGUGGUGGAUAAUGUAGUGGAAAAUUUGAAUGGAAAUAUACCUCCAAGGAGUUACAAUGAAAGAACAAAAAUAAAGGAAAAAAAAAAAAUUAAAUUGGAAGAUGUAUUUUUAGAUUCAAAUAUAUGGGAUGAUGAGUAUAGUGGAGAAUAUGAAAAAAAAGAUUCUGUGACAAGAGAUGGUUUAACAUAUGACGAAACAGAUUAUACAAUAAACAAGGCAACCACAGAUGACGAAAGAGGUGAUACAAUAAACAAGGUAAUAACAGAUGAAAAAACAAACCUAAAUGAAGAAACAACUUAUUUAAAUAAUAUAAUAAAUAAAGAUACUGUAGGAUACGAUAUAAUAUUAUUACCAGAAGAAAAAAAACGAUUAUAUGAAGAAUUUUUAUUAAAAUAUAUGAAAAAUGAAAAUGAACGUAAAAUUGUUAAAAUGAUUUUAAAUUUAAAUUAUAAUAAUAUAGAUAAAGAAAUAGAAGAUAAUAUAAUAAAUAAAUUUUUAGAACAAGCAGUAACAGAAAAAUUGUUUUAUUUAAAUAAAUUAAAUUCUGCUUAUAAUAUAAUAGAUACUCAAGGUAACUUAUUCGAUUAUAAAAAUAUAAAUUUUAUUGAUAGAAUAAAGCAAGAGAUCAAUAAAAAAGGUCGUUUACAUAAAACGAUAUAUAAUAUAAAUAAAAAAAAAAAAGAGGAUAACCUACUUAAUGAUAAAAAAAAAGAACAUCCUAAAAAAAAAGGAUUAAACGAAUCAAUUGAUAUAAGUGAAUAUACAAUACAAAAAGAAGAAAUUUUUGACGAUAUAGAUAAUUUAUUGUUUGAAAAUAUAUGUACAAAAAUGUAUAUAAAUAAAUUAUUAUCACUGAAAGAUAACAUAUAUAAUAAUAGAAUAAGUUUAUAUUUUUAUGAAAUAAUUUUAAAUAUAAAAAAUGUUGAAGAUAUACAUAGUACUUAUUUAAUUAGUCAAUAUGAAAUGAUGAUAAAAGACAUUAUAAAAACAACACUUGUAAGUAAAAACUAUAUGAAUAUAAAAAAUAUGUAUUUAAAAAAAAUAAUUAAUUUUUUAAAUAUAUCAGAAGACACAGCUGUUACUGUUGAACUUAGUUGUAUAUAUGAACAUACAUAUUCAAUUUUUAAAGAAAUUAAAGAAAAUUUUUAUAUAUAUAAAAAUGAUAGCGAUUUUAUUGAAAGUUUAAAUAAAAUAUUAACUAUAUAUAAUAAUUUAAAUUUAAUAAAAAAAAAAAAUGAUCAAUAUUAUAUUAAAUUUGCACUUAUAGAAAACGACUCUAAUAUAGUAUAUAAAAUAAUAGAAAGAUAUGUUCUAUAUGUAAUUGAUGAAAUUAAUGAUAAAAAUAGUUUGGAUUAUAAAGAAAACAUUUUUAAAUUAACUGCUAUUUUAAACGUUAGUUACGAUAUACUAAAUAACAUAUCGGUUAAAAUAUAUAAAGAAUACAUAAAAGAUCAAAAGUUAAACAGUAUAAACUCUUUAGAUGAUUUUUUCCAAUUUUUGUUUAACAUGAGUAAAGAAAAACAAAAAGAAAUUGUAUUGGCACAUUUAGAAAAACAAAUACAGGAGUAUUUAAAAAGUAAUAUAGAGUACCAGGAUAAAAUGCAAAAAGUACAUGAUGUCAUUUUUUUUAUAAAUAAUAAUUUACAUAUUCAGAAAAAUGUGUUUAAUAUAUCAUACAUAAGUUCUGAAACAGUUUAUGAGUUUUUAACAUCUUGUAUUAAUGACUAUUUGAAUAAUAAUAAAAAUAAACUAUCCUUUAUGGAGGACCAUAACAAGUAUAUAGUGGAUUUAAGAAAAUAUAUAGACAAAAUUAUGAUUAUGAUAAAAGGAAAAGAAGAAAAUCAUCACCUUCAACAUAUUUUUAACAUUUUGAAAAGAGACAUAAUAAAAAAGGCUAUCUACUUUUUGGACAAAUUUAAAUAUGAUGUGUGCGUAGAAGAAAUUUACAACUUAAUUAAGCUUCAAAUGGUUGAUGAAAAAAAUAAUUUCUCCGAUAUAGAUAUUUAUAAAAGAAAAAAAUUGAUCAACAUUUUCUCAUACCAAGAUAUUAGCGAUGAAAAAAAGAUGCUUUACAUGGAUAUUCUGAAUAAAGCCUUGUUGUAA